rnacentral:rRNA from 1 species
UCGAGAAUAUUCGACAAUGGGCGAAAGCCUGAUCGAGCGACGCCGCGUGCAGGAUGAAGGCCCUCGGGUUGUAAACUGCGGUAGUAGGGGAGGAACGCAAGUGACUGUACCCUACGGAAAGUGGUUGGUAACUACGUGCCAGCACCAGCGGUAAUACGUAGACCACAAGCGUUAUCCGGAUUUAUUGGGCGUAAAGAGCAUGUAGGAGGUCCGGUGCGUCUCUGGUUAAAGCCCACCGCCUAACGGUGGAAGUGCCAGAGAUACGAUCGGACUGGAGGAUGUGAGAGGUGCAUGGAACUCACGGUGUAGGGGUGAAAUCCGUUGAUAUCGUGGGGAACACCAAAGGCGAAGGCAGUGCACUGGUACAUUCCUGACUCUGAGAUGCGAAAGCGUGGGGAGCAAAAAGGAUUAGAUACCCCCGUAGUCCCUGAGCGGGCUGGCAAGGCGCAU